GAGUUUGAUCCUGGCUCAGGAUGAACGCUGGCGGCGUGCCUAAUACAUGCAAGUCGAGCGAACAGAUAAGGAGCUUGCUCCUUUGACGUUAGCGGCGGACGGGUGAGUAACACGUGGGUAACCUACCUAUAAGACUGGAAUAACUCCGGGAAACCGGGGCUAAUGCCGGAUAAUAUUUAGAACCGCAUGGUUCUAAAGUGAAAGAUGGUUUUACUAUCACUUAUAGAUGGACCCGCGCCGUAUUAGCUAGUUGGUGGGGUAAUGGCUUACCAAGGCAACGAUACGUAGCCGACCUGAGAGGGUGAUCGGCCACACUGGAACUGAGACACGGUCCAGACUCCUACGGGAGGCAGCAGUAGGGAAUCUUCCGCAAUGGGCGAAAGCCUGACGGAGCAACGCCGCGUGAGUGAUGAAGGUCUUCGGAUCGUAAAACUCUGUUAUUAGGGAAGAACAAAUGUGUAAGUAACUGUGCACGUCUUGACGGUACCUAAUCAGAAAGCCACGGCUAACUACGUGCCAGCAGCCGCGGUAAUAC
rnacentral:rRNA from 1 species